rnacentral:rRNA from 1 species
AGCUCCAAUAGCGUAUAUUAAAGUUGUUGUUGUUAAAAAGCUCGUAGUUGGAUCUCAGUUCUAAUCUAUCGGUCCACUUGCCAGUGGUUACUGAUAGAUUGAACACUUUACCGACUUGUCCUAUGGUGCUCUUUACCGAGUGUCAUAGGCGAUCGGUACGUUUACUUUGAAAAAAUUAGAGUGCUCAAAGCAGGCGUAACGCCCGAAUAAUGUUGCAUGGAAUAAUGGAAUAGGACCUCGGUUCUAUUUUGUUGGUUUUCGGAAUCUGAGGUAAUGAUUAAGAGGGACAGACGGGGGCAUUCGUAUUGCGGCGCUAGAGGUGAAAUUCUUGGACCGUCGCAAGACGAACUAAAGCGAAAGCAUUUGCCAAGAAUGUUUUCA